rnacentral:rRNA from 1 species
AUGCUCAAACCCCUCAAGAUGUCCCAAGAACAGACGAUUAAUACAAUGCAUUUGCUUAUUUUUGCCACAAAAAUGCUUCUCCCACCAGAAUCGAGUACGUAUAUUAACAGGAUGCAACUCAAAGGGGGGAGAAGAGUUCUUCCUUGGCAAGAGAACCAACCAAUCAAUCAAUCAAAACUGCAACGCAAGCAACAAAAAAGAAAAGAAAAAAUGUCGAACAGUGAACCAAUCCACCUGCUGGUGGCUGGAGCUGGAGCUGGAGCUGGAGCUAAGGCUAGGCGGGCGGUCGAUAGUAGCUGUAUGCGCUGUAGAAGGUCUGCAUCAUGGUGA